rnacentral:lncRNA from 1 species
UUUUUUUUUUUUUUUUUUUAGCAGAUGUGGUAUUGCUGGUGGUUUUGCUGUGGCUUUUUUUGGUGUUUUAAGUGGAUGUGUUUCUGAGGCUGCUGUUUUACUCUGGUGGGGGAUGAGGUUGUUUUAAGAGAAUAAUUAUAAAAAUGAUUUUAAAAUGUGGAUGUUAAGGCAAGUAUCUUGAUAAAGCAGUUGAGCCUGUUUACUGGUAUCUCUCUGACGUGUAACUCUUGUCUAAUCAACAACUGUCUUAGUCUCUGGGAUGCUCGAGGAGUCUGCUGGAGUCGACAGGUGUGAGAGCCAUAGCCUUAGGGUCUCCUGGGCUCCAGUCCCCCUCAUCAAGGUACUGGGGGAGAUUGAUGGAUGUGACACAUCUUGGCUUCUAGUAUCCUUAGAGUACAGCUCAGUAAUGACACUAGCGAGCCAUGGAGUUCACAGUGUUCAGAGGCUAAAUUAAAUGUCAGCCCUGUGUGAUACUGGCCACACCACUCUGGUCAUUUGACUCAUCUGCCACGCAGAAUUAAAAAUGGCAACAACCUCACAUGGUCCCUGGAUAGUUAAGUAAUCUAAGUCCCUGGCAAGCAAGCUGCCUACCUCCUGGUGCUACUUAGCAAACGCUGCUCUUUGGGCCGAUACACACAUAGGCUAACAAUGCACACAUGGGACUCUGCCAGGCAGGACAGCACCAAUACAUCAGGGCAAGCAUCCAGAGAGAGUGGGAAGUGUACUUGUGCUGACACAGAACUGACCAACAGCAUGCUUUUGGAAGAUGAGGGUUUGUCGGUAGGGUGUAGCUCUGAAGUUGAUCCAUUUUGCUCUGCACCUCCCAGUUCCUUUCCUCAGCCAUUGGUUCUUGUUUCUAAUGCUCCAGAGUCCGGAGCAGUGGGUAGCCCCCUGGAGGGAGCAAGGGCCAUUCAGAUACUCUAGGUUCAUUGUCCAGAAUGGUUUGCUAAAGGAGAUGAGAUAUACUGGGUGUGUGGCUGUCCUGCGGCUUGGACAUUAGGACAGGAGUCUCUUCACUGAUGUGAUGCCAUGAAGGUCCAGGGUCUGUUGAUUCUUGGAAGGUAGAGCAACUUGAAAUCAUAGUCCCGGGGCCUCACACACCUGGCAGUGUCUCUGGAAAUAAAGCUGUCCUGGGUUAUCAUCAAUAAUCUAGGCUGGACGUUUAUUAGGAUCUAAGAUCUGGGCUUGCUAUCUAGUCAUCAAGGAUCUCAUUCUUUGAAUGAAUGAAUGAACUAACGAGUGAGCGAGCAAGUAGGACAGUGGACGACUGGGGUUGGAGAACACUGGCAGAGGCACUUUGCCCGUUACUGUGCUUGCACAUCUUCCUGUUUGUCUGUCAAUGAGGUAACUCUCCCAAGGAAUUCCACCUGAGAUGUUUGCUUGGCAGUAUUUUGAGCUUCCAUUCAUUUAAGAGAAGAAAAGGCAUGAUUCUUAAUUGGCGUAAUUUUGCCUUCAUGAAUUCGGAAACGCAACUCCUGGAAUAAUGAGUUCCUCUUUUAGAAAGAAACAUAUUUGCACAAAUGCCAACCCUUGGCUCAUUAGGCCCAUCCUGAAAAAGAGAUGCAUGGCUUUCCCUGGGGCAGGCCCUGCAAGGCUUUGGAUGCUCUUGCCUUUUCUAGUCCUGUGCCCCCAAUCAGUUUCACCUCAUAUAACUAAGAGUUAAUAUGAAAUAAAAGGACCUUUGAGACCCCACUGCCAGGAUUCUGCUUACUUGCCACUCUGCAAAUGACUUUAGCUGAGUGGUUUUUAUCAUCUCGCCAUCAUUAUUCCUGCCUCCACAAAGAUCCCAGCGUGCUAUGUAAAUAGGCCACUGGACAGGUUGAUAGGGAGACUGUUGCAUUUCCUGGGCACAAAUUUGCCCAUCAUCACUGUGGACAGACUCUAGGUAAGUCCCCAGGCAGAAAGCUGAGGACAGGACUGGCUGCCUGUGAUGUGUCUAAGGUCCCAGACAGGACUUGUGAAGGUAGAACACCCUGCUGGGAGCCCUCAUCUCUGCAUGUGGCUGGCUACUGCGUGCUUUGGGUUUGCCCAUCUUAGUCCGUCUUCUGUUGCUUAACAAAUUGUGUGAGAUUUGGUGAUUUAUAAGGAAUAUAGAAGCAUUUACCUCACAGGUAAGGAAAAGCCUGGCGUUGGCAUUUGUUGAGAUGAGCAUGAUUUCUAUUGUUUGUUUUGUUUUAUUUUUGAGAUAGAGUUUUUACUGACUAGCCUAGGCUGGGUAUAAACUCAGAAUCCCCCUGCCUUGGCCUGCCAAACUCUGAGAUUAUAGGCAUGUGCUGCUGCACUAGACAAGAGAAGAGCAAGCAUGCUAAAUCAGGUUUCCUAUAUUCUUUUAAAGAGGCCAAUGCCAUUCUGGGGACCCUUCUCUUGUGCCCUCAUCUAAUCCUAAAUAGUCUUCAGAGAUGCUACCUCUGUGUGCCAUUAACAUAUAGGUUUGGGAAUUUAUUCCCAGUACCCGAGCCUUGCCAGGGCACAUACAAACUGUGAUCUUCACUAGCUCUGUGUCUGCCUCUGCCCAUGAUCCUGGCAGCUGGGUACUCAGUCCUGCCCUUGAUGAUAUCUGCAUGUCUCCAUCUUCCUCGUAUGUGGUCUGAUGGAGUCCCUUCUCAGGAAGCUCUUGGACCACCUGACUUCAUCUGCCUCGUGUGUAAGGGAUGAGUCUGGCCUCAGUUCCAAGAGCUGGUCUCUGCCGUGUCUCAGGGAUGAGAUGGAUGGCUUACCCUCCAGAUGCGGCUGAGAUAUACAACCCGUCAAUCCCUCUGCAAAGCUUAAAGAAAGCUAGCUCCUGCAGAAGGAAUUAAAUGAAUGGCAUUAUUGUUCUUUUGUUUAAUGCAUGAGUUUUCUGUUAUUCCCAGUUCAAAUAUUUGUUAGCCUGACAAAAAAAGAAAGUUAAUUUUUCAGCUUUACGAAUUAUUCACUUCUUUAUGAAGGAGGCAGAAGUGCCAUUUUAUAGAGGCCCAUUAAUUGGGUGAUGGGUAAUAUCCAAGAACCAUAUGUCAAGGCUGGAUUUGGAACAGCUCCUCCCUCCUGGCACUCGGUGCAGUCAUCUCCAGUCUAUUUGUCUGAGUCAAUUAGAAAAGGUGCAGUCCUUCACAUGAGAAAAGCUUGCCAUGAGUGUGUAACAUGAGCAAGAGAACAAGAGCCUAGGCUCUACUCUGUCACUGGCAAUGCCACAUUAAACCCAUUGCUUCUCCUCUGAUGGCAUAGUCUCCCCAGGCAAAAGUGAAUAGAAAAGAUUAGGUUUUAUCCUGAACUCUGAUUACUUAAACCAGAUCUCUGGUCACAGUGGGGAAGGAUUCUACAAUGUAUUAGUUAUGUCUGCUGUGAGUAGGGAAGGAGCCAGUGCAUACUUGACCCAGAUAAUGUCAACCUUGCCUCUCCUGACCAACUUUUAAAUGGUGGGCUUUUCAGGUGAAGUGGAAUAUGACAGAGGAGAGAAGUAGAGUAGAAGCCAUUCAUUCUGGUUGGGAAUUGAGUAAGUUAUCUCAUCUCCAUGGUCUUUAUUUCCUUAUCAAGUAGGAGAGCGAGAUUGUUUCAUGAUGGAGGAAGACAUUUUAAGUACUUGGCACAGCAGACAAUCAAUAAAAAUGCGAGCCAGCCAUUCUUAUUCAUCCAAGAAGUUCAGUUUAUACUUCCUUCAGGAGCAAGAGCUGACUUUGAAACCUGAGUUUGGUUCCAAACCAUGUUGUGAUUUGUUGACAUUGUGGAUAUGAAGGACAACCUCAGAACAGUAGAGAGAUACAACACAGCCCAUCUCUG